ensembl:lncRNA
ACUCACAGCCUGUAAUUAUCAACAGAUUAAAAAAAAAAAAGUAGACAUGCAGGUUCUGCAAUUUUUUUAAAUGUCAAAAGUUUUUUUGCAGAAGUGAGAACACACAGCUAGAGGCAGAUGAGGAAGAAAACCCAAACCGAUUCAACGAUCUAUGGCAUACAGAAGUGUGGAUGUUUCGGACAGCUCAAACAGGAACAAUGUGGUCUACUGAGGCCAGGGACAGGGCCGAGAAGAAAAACACAUGCUAAGAGCGCCAUCUACCGGUAAAGUGGGCCGCACAGACACAGAGGUUGGACAAAGACACAUCCCAUGAGAGGAUGUGGAAAAACUUGAAAGUAAUAUAAUUUUGAAACUGGGCCACAGUCAGCCAGCCUGGGAACCCUGAGGAAUGUUUUUAACUCAUGUCCAGCAUGACAUAACCGUUUCAUCCGCCUCAUCCCGUCCUAGCUAGAAUAAGAAAAUGGACUGGAUUCUUCAGAAUUUGGUCUAUGAUCAAAUGACCUAAUCUUUGACUGAAUUAUAUCAUGAUUUAUUUAGUUGUACAUAGGUUUUGGAUGAAACUAAAACCACAGUAAACUUUGUUUGCCUUGCAGCUGUGGGAAGAAACACUUACAAAGAUUUGAUUAGCUAUGAGCAAUGCUGUAUGAAUGACGUUUGUUGAAACUAGUGAUGCCAUUAAUUACAUGCAAGAAAUACUUGUGAAGACUACAGAAUACCCUUAAACACACCUACAUUUGUCAGUUUUGACUUAUCUGAAGGACUAAAUCUAUUAUAAUUUAUACUGUGCAUUGAAGGCCUUUAUGAUGUAGUUUAUACUAACUUAGUACAUAAAGCUCCGUCACUUAUAAAUGUUAUAUAACCUUUAAAACUACUGCGUUUUCACUUUACACAUUCAGAAAGAUGGUUGACAGUGCAAACUGGUUAAAGCAUGAAGACCAAUUUACAGCAUAGUACCUCAGGACCUUGGCGCUAAAUUUAUGUGUGUUUUAAAAAGAGUUUGUUUAUCGGUGAAAUGUUGGAAUUAUCAUAUUACGAUACUAUUACACUAAUGUUGUUGUUGUUUUAAUUUAAUUUA